rnacentral:rRNA from 1 species
UACGAAGGGGGCUAGCGUUGCUCGGAAUUACUGGGCGUAAAGGGCGCGUAGGCGGGUGUUUAAGUCAGAGGUUAAAUCCCAGGGCUCAACCCUGGAACUGCCUUUGAUACUGGGCACCUAGAGUUCGGGAGAGGUGUGUGGAACUCCGAGUGUAGAGGUGAAAUUCGUAGAUAUUCGGAAGAACACCAGUGGCGAAGGCGACACACUGGCCCGAUACUGACGCUGAGGUGCGAAAGCGUGGGGAGCAAACAGG